ACUGGAAAGUGCCUCUAGAAUUAAU
rnacentral:rRNA from 1 species